GACGAACGCUGGCGGCGUGCUUAACACAUGCAAGUCGAACGGUGAAGCGCCUUCCUUUUUGGUGGGUGUGGAUGAGUGGCGAACGGGUGAGUAACACGUGAGUAACCUGCCCCCUUCUUCUGGAUAACCGCAUGAAAGUGUGGCUAAUACGGGAUAUUCUGGGUCUGUCGCAUGAUGGGUCUGGGAAAGAUAUUGUUUCGGUGGGGGAUGGGCUCGCGGCCUAUCAGCUUGUUGGUGGGGUGAUGGCCUACCAAGGCGGUGACGGGUAGCCGGCCUGGGAGGGUGGACGGCCCCACUGGGACUGAGACACGGCCCAGACUGCUACGGGAGGCAGCAGUGGGGAAUAUUGCACAAUGGGGGCAAGCCUGAUGCAGCGACGCCGCGUGAGGGAUGGAGGCCUUCGGGUUGUGAACCUCUUUCGCCAGUGAAGCAGGCCUGCCUCGUUUGUGGGUGGGUUGACGGUAGCUGGAUAAGAAGCGCCGGCUAACUACGUG
rnacentral:rRNA from 1 species